GACGAACGCUGGCGGCGUGCUUAACACAUGCAAGUCGAACGGGCCUGUCUUCUUUUUUGGGGGUGGGUUGAGUGGCGAACGGGUGAGUAUCACGUGAGUAACCUGCCCUUCGGUCCUGGAUAACCGCUUGAAAGGGCGGCUAAUACGGGGUGGUCCGGUUGGUCCGCAUGGGCUGGUCGGGAUAGAUUCACUGUUUUUGGUGUUUCGGCGGGGGAUGGGCUCGCGGCCUAUCAGCUUGUUGGUGGGGUGAUGGCCUACCAAGGCGGUGACGGGUAGCCGGGCUGAGGGGGUGGGCGGCCACACUGGGACCGCGAUCCGGCCCCCACCCCUGCGGGGCGCAGCAGUGGGGGGUAUUGCACACUGGGCGGAAGCCUGAUGCAGCGACGUCGCGUGAGGGAUGGAGGCCUUCGGGUUGUGAACCUCUGUUUCCGGUGGUGAAGGCCCUGUCCGUGUGGUGGGGUUGACGGUAGCCGGGGAUGAAGCGCCGGCUAACUACGUG
rnacentral:rRNA from 1 species